GGUUAUUUGAUUAUAUGAUUUUGAUUUGUUUGUUUUAGUAGUUUUUGUUUGUCUUUGAAUUCUGUCAAUAGUUUUUGCAAAUUUUUUGGUAAAUUGAUUUUUUUUUCUUUUAGAUUGAUUAACAACCAACGACAAUAGCAAUCAAUAUUUGGAACAAUUUUUUUUUUUUGCCAACCUUGCAAGUUGGAAGAUGUAUCAGAUUCCAUAAAGUGGGGUAAAUAUGCUGACCGAGUGGAAUGAUUUAGCCUAGAGGGUUUUUGCAGCUAAUUGUGUUUCUCAGUACCUGUUAUAUCUUACAUGGAGGUGUAUCGAUUUAUGGGCAAUGGACUUUCCUGACCGUCGUUGUUUGUGCUGGAAAUUUGUUAGUAUAGGAGGUGAUUUUCCAUGCCUACACCGUUAGAGCAGAGGUGCUCAAAGAUAUUGCUAUUGAAUGCUUACCAAGGAAUUCAGUUCACUUGAAUAUGAGACAAUUGGGCCAAGUCAAAACUGUGCAACUUAUAGAAGUUCAAGAACAUGUCAAACAGAGGCAUCACAAAACAUAUCAAUGAUACUGAGCACUUGGAGCAGACGACCAUCAGCCAAGCGACCUCCCCUGAUAGAAGAAGAAGCCUCGAUGACUCCUUCCCCUUGAUAGUUUUUAUUAAUGGUAGGUAAAACAAACAAUUGGUUCUUGGACUGUAAAAGAGUGAAACAGUGUAUCUAGUAUAGGAGUUAUCAUAGUACCAUAGUUGAAUGGAUGAGUCAUUUCCCUUUAUAUCUAAUAUGUCAGCUAUGUGGUUGUUGGAUGCAUGUUUAGUAGAUAAACGGGAAACAUAUCGAGUAUAGUGCGACUUUGUCGAUUAACAUAGCUGUAUAAACUGAAAACCAGAGUAUUAUGAUAUUUUUUUAAAUGCCUCUUACGUCUUUGGGCUAUUUUACAGUCUCCGGGUUGCUAUUCUUUCAGUUAUGGUUUAGUUUCUUAUUUUUCUUAACGCGAGGAAUC